GUGAGGCAUGGGAGGUGCUGGCGGACAGGAAGAUUGAGCCUCGCCACCGCAUUCAUUAUGCACUGAAACAGCGCAAGUUGGGAGCACGUAAGACCAAUGAGAAGCGCAUUACAGUAGUCAAGGCGAGAAAGGACCGUGGAAUGGACCAGCACCUUUGUCGCAUCUGGCGUUAAGUAGAGUCGGAUACGCGCAAUGUUUUUGAGAUGGAAACUACAGGAUUUGGCGAUAGACUGAACAUGAGGUGUGAAGGAGAGGUCAGAGUCAAAUAGAACACCUAUGCAACGAACCUGCGUGGUGGAGCUGAUGGCAGCACCAUUGACUUGGAGGGAGACAGACACAGGAGUAGCAACACUUGAGGACCAGAAUUUAAGUUUUGGUCAAGUUGAGUUUAAGGAAGUGGGCAGCCAUCCAGUUAGAAAUAGCAGAGAGGCAAUCAGAGACACUAGUCAAGAGGGACGGGGAGAGAUCAGGAGAGGACAGGUAGAUUUGCGUGUCAUUUGCAUACAAAUGAUAUUGGAUGCCAAAGGAGCUAAUGAGUUUACCAAGGGAGGCAGUAUUGAUAGAGAACAGUAGGAG